CCCCGCGACGCGCCGGGUGCUGGCUCAGCCUUUCGCUCUCCCGGCCUCCCCCUCCCUGGUUCCGCGCUCUGGUUCCGCCAUGGAAUCCAACAAGGAUGAAGCCGAGCGCUGUAUUAGCAUCGCCCUCAAGGCCAUCCAGAGCAACCAGCCUGACCGGGCGCUCCGCUUCCUGGAGAAGGCGCAGCGGCUGUACCCGACGCCGCGAGUUCGCGCACUGAUCGAGUCCCUCAACCAGAAACCACAGUCGGCCAGCGACCAACCACAACCCACAGAGGCAACCCAGGCGAUCCAUAGGAAAGCAGGUGGGGCCGGCACCCCCUCGGCCAACGGUGAAGCCGGAGGAGGAGAGAGCACCAAAGGCUACACUGCCGAACAAGUAGCGGCCGUGAAAAGGGUCAAGCAAUGUAAAGAUUACUACGAGAUCCUGGGGGUGAGCAGAGGGGCCUCAGAUGAGGACCUGAAGAAGGCCUACCGCAGACUGGCCCUCAAGUUCCACCCUGACAAGAACCGCGCGCCUGGCGCCACUGAAGCUUUCAAAGCCAUUGGCACAGCAUACGCAGUACUUAGCAACCCAGAGAAAAGGAAGCAGUAUGACCAGUUCGGCGAUGACAAGAGCCAGGCAGCCCGGCACGGCCAUGGGCACGGGGACUUCCACCGCGGCUUUGAAGCUGACAUCUCCCCUGAAGACCUCUUCAACAUGUUCUUUGGAGGUGGCUUCCCAUCUAGUAACGUCCAUGUCUAUAGCAACGGCCGCAUGCGCUACACGUACCAUCAAAGGCAGGACCGCAGGGAGAACCAGGGUGAUGGUGGGCUGGGGGUGUUUGUCCAGCUGAUGCCCAUCCUCAUCCUGAUCCUCGUGUCAGCUCUCAGCCAGCUCAUGGUUUCCAGUCCACCCUACAGCCUCAGCCUGAGACCGUCGGUGGGCCACGUCCACAGGCGAGUCACUGACCACCUGAACGUCGUUUACUACGUGGCAGACACGUUCUCUGAGGAGUACACAGGCUCCAGCCUCAAAAUGGUUGAACGGAAUGUGGAAGACGAUUAUAUUGCCAAUCUCCGAAACAACUGUUGGAAGGAGAAGCAGCAAAGUGAGUGUGUGUGUGUGUGUGCGUGCGUGAGAGAGAGAGAGAGAGAGUGUGUGUAUGUGUGUGUGAGAGAGAGAGAGAGAGAGAGAGUGUGUGUGUGUGUGUGUGUGUGUGUGUGUGUGUGUUUGGGGGCACAAAGCUUGAGAGCAGGGAAGGAAAAAGCCCUGCUCCCCCAGUGAUCUGUGGGCGCAGCACCUGGCACUGCCCUGCGCCAGCCAUGUCCUAGCCAAGAACCGGCCUCCACCCCUGUGUUUCCCUGGGGCUGGGAGCCAGGAGCCACCUGGAGAUGUCCUCCAGCUUCCGGUAAAUCACUGCAAUCAGCCUGUUGUUUGGCUGCCGCAGGUAAGUAUGUAGAGAGAGAUUGGAACAUUUCUCCUCCCCACCCACCGAUUGGGCAUCUGGAUCUAUCCAUGGGACCCUGGGGCCGUCUCACCAGAAUAACAGGUUCUCUCUUUGGCUGGCCUCACCUAUACUCUGUAGAAAGGGGCCUCUAUUCUGCUCCCAAGGUGGGACCAUAUUUCCUUCUCCAGGGUCUACCCUAAGGGAAGCCAGCUCUGCCCCAGCUCCUGGGCCUGUAACUACCUUUCCCCUCCCGAAAAGGCCAAGCAGGCAUCGUAGCAGCCUUAGAGGUUGCCCUAACCCUGCCACAUUGCUUUGCAGAGGAAGGCUUGCUGUACCGGGCCCGCUACUUUGGCGACGCAGACAUGUACCACAAAGCACAGAAGAUGGGCACCCCGAGCUGUAACCGACUGUCAGAGACUAUGAAAUCCCUGGAGAAUUUGUGGUGACAUGCACUGAGCCAAGGUGACGAACUGUAUAUUUAAGGAAAGACAAAAAAAGAAAAAAAAUUAAAAUGGAAUUGGAGGCCGGACGCUGCACAACUGCCCUCUCUCUCACCCAGUAACUGCAGAAAGCUGUUAGGACAGACAGGAAAACCUGACAUGGGGCUGCUUCCCUUCCUCCCAGGGCUGGCAGAAGCUCAGGCUUCUCAUCGGCUCUCUCCUAGGAUACAGAAACCAUGACAACGAAAGUAGAAUGUAAAACUUGCAGCAAAUGUCUGUAGGAAGGGCUGGGGAGGGGGCACCCAACUGCCUUUCUUCCCCCCUCCCAGGAGCUACCACCAGUCACCUCAGUGGAGGUAAUCAGAGGUGUUGGCCAAGGAUAGAGAGGAGGAGGAAAGAGAACUCUGUAGAAUGUAAUUUAUAGAUGCGUGUAUAUGUAUGUAUCUAUUUAUAUGUAAAUAACACAUAUAAAGAUAUAGAGAUAUAUAGAGAUAUAGUCUACUUUUUAAACUAUGCAGGGAUUUGGUUGUUGAGUUGAUUUCUUCCCUGUUUUAGAAAACAAAGCCUGUUUGGGGAAGGCAGCCUGGUCCUUCAAAGGCUAGACAUUAGCCGUAGCUGACAGCAUGAGGAAAGUUGGGCCACAGCUUUUAACGUUCCCCUCAACCCCAGCCUGUUUUUGAUGGCAGCAGUAAUCAUGAUAGCAUAAAUCUACAGAGAACUUGGAAGGUUGCCAGCUGUAUGGUUAAACUGGAGGGGAGCAGGCUGCGGGGGAAGAAAGGACUCCUGGGGCCAGAUGCCAGGUCAGUAUUGAGUCAUGGUAGAGGCCCCAGAUGGCCUGUGGGGAUGAGACCACCCACCGCAAGUUUGGCCAGCUCAGGUGGGCGCUUUGUUUUGUCCUGGUGCCCGGGACCCCCCUGCCCCCACUGCCACUGAGAGCAGCAGUGUUGGAGAGGGGAGCCAGGUUCUGCCUGACCACCUCCCCGCUUAGUCCCUAUGUGAGUUUUGCCUUAUAGGUGCCCCAGGGCACAGCCCCAUUGUUGCUACUGGUUUUUCCUAAGCCAUGUACCAAGGACUCCAGAAGGCUUUUCCUCCCAGAGUCAACCACGUGGGGCCCAGGACGCUGGGGCAGAAGCCGACUCCUGAAGAAAGUCCAUGACCGUGGGCGCCUCUGUCUCUACCCUCCGUGGACAUGAUGCCACCCGGCCUUCUCUUGCACGUUGGAUAAAGGAUGCACCUGAACCAGAAGGGUUUUCUUAUGGUCACCCUCAAAUGAGGAUUUUUCUCCAAACAGCAGUUGCUGCCAGGGCAAGGGAGGGAGGUUUUAUUUAUUCCCACAGUUUAUACUGGGCCUUUUGGAAUUACCGUUUUUCCCAAAUUUUCCUCUGGUGGUGGGUGUGUCAUUGAGCCUGCCAUCCUCCAAAGCCUUACUACCCCAAGCUGCCAGCCAGGAGGGGAUCACUACCCUCCCAGAGCUUUUCUUCGCUCUUUUUAUAAAAGUCCCCCAACAAAUAGGAUUCUUGCUGGGAAAAGGAGCUUGGUUGAGGAGAAAUGUCAAAUACGGUUUUUAAACAAGGUCCUGCCCUGUGAUGAAGCGCCCUUCCCCGCCCGGCCCCCCCCCCCGCCCCCGCCCAAAGAGAUGCUCAGAACUGGAUGUGGGUGAGAGCGCCCUGCCCGUGGUGGCCCUGGUGCUCGGCUCCCACCACCCCAACCCUCUGGUCUCAGUAGAUGUCCCUAGACGGGCUGAGCCAUGUGCAAUAAGAACAUAGAUCCUAAUGGAUCCACUGAGAAGCUGUAUUUCUUGAAAUAGAAUUCUGAAAUUGUAUAUAAAUAUAUGUUUAUUAUGUGA